rnacentral:rRNA from 1 species
AAAGGAAUAGACGGGGGCCCGCACAAGCGGUGGAGCAUGUGGUUUAAUUCGAGGCAACGCGAAGAACCUUACCCAGACUUGACAUCCCAGGACCGCCUAUGAAAGUAGGUUUUCCCUUCGGGGACCUGGAGACAGGUGUUGCAUGGCUGUCGUCAGCUCGUGUCGUGAGAUGUUGGGUUAAGUCCCGCAACGAGCGCAACCCUUGUCCUUAGUUACCAGCGGGUUAUGCCGGGCACUCUGAGGAGACUGCCGAUGAUAAGUCGGAGGAAGGUGGGGACGACGUCAAGUCAUCACGGCCCUUACGUCUGGGGCUACACACGUGCUACAAUGGUCGGUACAGAGGGACGCAAGAUCGCGAGAUGGAGCCAAUCCCAAAAAGCCGGCCUCAGUUCGGAUUGCAGUCUGCAACUCGACUGCAUGAAGUCGGAAUCGCUAGUAAUCGUGGGUCAGCUACACCACGGUGAAUACGUUCCCGGGCCUUGUACACACCGCCCGU